rnacentral:lncRNA from 1 species
CAUAUUCAAACAGUUUUUAACAAUUAUUCAAGAGCUGAAAGUCAUCAUUGCAGUGUUGACGGGGUUUGUGAUUGGGAUAAUCCUUUCAACAAUCAUUGCUUGUUUGGUAACAAAAUCUCGCAGAAAAAAGUGGAAGAGGUCGGAAAAUCCUUCUGAAAACCUGGAGAUGGGGACUUCUGAAGCUGGUCCAACGAUGGAUGCUGAUCAAGCAGCAACAUAUGAUAGGAUCCGUGAGCCAGAGGACGCUGAAGGAGAACCUGAGUCUGUUGCGCAAUUGCCAUCCAAUGGAAACUGCAGAACAGAGGUGGAGUACUCUGACAUUAACUUCUCUGCACUAAGACCCAAGAAUCCUGAAGAGGCAGAAAACACGCAGGAUGCCAGAGACACCGAGUAUGCUGAAAUUAAAAGAGAAGGACUGAGACAAGAAGACGCCCAAGAGGACAGUGAACUGUUGGAGGGCAAUGAGGAGAAUGAGUUGAUGAGUAAAAAGGACAAUGAGGAAGGUGAGGAUGUGGCGCUGUAUUCCAGUGUGGAGGAAUUAAUGGGUUAAUUAUGAGAGGUGUGAAAUUUGGAGAGAUUAACUGUGAAGCAUCACACAACCAUUACAAACAGAAGAUACAUGCAUACUGCAAUCAACGUAUGCACUGAGAAUUGUGUGUGCUGUGUUAGAUGAGAUGGCAUUUCUGGGAUUUUUCAAUUACCAAAAAUAUAAGAAUGUAUGUAAUAUAAAAGGACAAACGCGUUUCCACAGGACUUACAAAAAUGGUAAAAAUAUCAGGCUAUGGUGUUUAAUGUGGUCUAAACAGAAUAAUAGUGGGUCGACUAAUCAGAUCCAGGUGCUGACAAAAAGGUUUUCAUGAAAUAUCCUCUCAUGUGACAACUUCUAUCUUUGGUAUGUAAGUGGCAGUCGUUAGUGGAGACCUAUGGUGGCUAUGCAACUGUACUUAUUUAAUACAAGGAAAUCUUCAGGUGUCAGCCAUACUAUGUAAAUAUUGUAAUAAAUCUUCAUAUUUACUUCACCUGUUCCACAAAAACAUAACAAGGUGAAACUAUUUAAAUCAUGGGUGUCAAACUCCAGUCCUCGAGGGCCGGCGUCCUGAAACGUUUCCAUGUGUCCCUGCUGCAACACACCUGGAUAACAUUAGUAGGUCAUUUGCGAGACUCUGUAGCGCUUGACUGCAUGCUGAGAUGGCAACCCCUAACCCAAGUCAAGUAAAUGUAAAUAAAUGAAGUGAAAAAUGUACGUGUAAAAGUUCUUUUAUUGCACUGUGUUCAUUCACUUAUGAGCUGCUGUAACAUGAAUCAAAUAGCUGAAUUCCCACCUCAGCAUGCUAAUGACCUACUAAUGUUAUUCAGGAGUGUUGCAGCAGGAACACAUAGAAAAGUUUCAGGACGCCGGCCCUCAAGGACUGGAGUUUGACACCUGUGGUUUAAAUCAUGAAUAUAAAUCUUAAAUCUUUGUGAAAAAGUUUUUGUAUGCAAACAAUAUUCUUUACAUUUUGCAUAUCUCUGUAUGAUACAAUUAGCAGCUUCAUGUAACAGUCAAACAUUUCAUCACAUUAAUAAAAUUCAGUCAUAAAUAAGGUGAAUGCAACUGAAAUCACAUUCAAGCUCAGAGUGAGAAUUUAUUCAGUUACAUUAUGAAGUUUGCCACAGUGGAGGAGGGGAGAGAUCACCUUUGCUUUGUUUUAAACCAUAAAAAGCUAAAGGAAAGCUCACCCUGGUAAAGCUUUUGUACAAAUUCAGACCACGCAUGGCAUUUUCUAGUUUGACGCCUCUCAGUCUAAGGUUGUCUGUGUUCUGCUUCACUGCUGUAAAUACUGCAAUUGCAAAAGUCCAGCUCCACCCUUCAGGCUACUUCUCUACUCCACAAACACUGGACUAAGGGGGUCAUAAUAUUUAGAUUUCAGGUUUCUUUUACAGCUUAAAAUUGUGUGACUUGACAAUUGACUGUUAUAGUCUCUUACAGUGUCAAAAUGUGAGAACAGGAAGAUUAGACCCAGUGAAAACAGAGUGAUGCCUAAUAAGGAAGGAUAUAAAUGUAUUCGCCUGUAACUGUUGUGAGAACAAUAACUAGUUCAUGAGUACUGUACAUAGGUGACAGAUGUAAGUAGAUGAAUGCUCAAUCUUUGUGUUUGAAUCUGCUGGUAUUUAAAGCAUGUGUUAAAUAAUAUUGUUUUAAUCAUAUAUUUUUUAAUAUGGUUUUUAUAUAUCAAUAAUCUCACACCAUCGUACUUUAAACAGUAUGCACUGUGUUGCACAAAGUAAAAAAAACAAGCCAGGGGUCCAAAAUUGAUUCCCAUGAGGACCGCAGUAGUCAAAUACUGUCACAUCAGUAUGGAAAAUAUGAAUUUGUAACAUCCUGUAGCGACAUCUGUGUUAGGCCUGUUUCCUGUGCAGUUUGCUUCCUGUACAUUUCUUGAGCAUUCUUCUGUUAAUAAAACUACUGAAUAAUAAAUGAAGUGAAAAAUGUACGUGUAAAAGUUCUUUUAUUGCACUGUGUUCAUUCACUUAUGAGCUGCUGUAACAUGAAUCAAAUAGCUGAAUUCCCACCUCAGCAUGCUAAUGACCUACUAAUGUUAUUCAGGAGUGUUGCAGCAGGAACACAUAGAAAAGUUUCAGGACGCCGGCCCUCAAGGACUGGAGUUUGACACCUGUGGUUUAAAUCAUGAAUAUAAAUCUUAAAUCUUUGUGAAAAAGUUUUUGUAUGCAAACAAUAUUCUUUACAUUUUGCAUAUCUCUGUAUGAUACAAUUAGCAGCUUCAUGUAACAGUCAAACAUUUCAUCACAUUAAUAAAAUUCAGUCAUAAAUAAGGUGAAUGCAACUGAAAUCACAUUCAAGCUCAGAGUGAGAAUUUAUUCAGUUACAUUAUGAAGUUUGCCACAGUGGAGGAGGGGAGAGAUCACCUUUGCUUUGUUUUAAACCAUAAAAAGCUAAAGGAAAGCUCACCCUGGUAAAGCUUUUGUACAAAUUCAGACCACGCAUGGCAUUUUCUAGUUUGACGCCUCUCAGUCUAAGGUUGUCUGUGUUCUGCUUCACUGCUGUAAAUACUGCAAUUGCAAAAGUCCAGCUCCACCCUUCAGGCUACUUCUCUACUCCACAAACACUGGACUAAGGGGGUCAUAAUAUUUAGAUUUCAGGUUUCUUUUACAGCUUAAAAUUGUGUGACUUGACAAUUGACUGUUAUAGUCUCUUACAGUGUCAAAAUGUGAGAACAGGAAGAUUAGACCCAGUGAAAACAGAGUGAUGCCUAAUAAGGAAGGAUAUAAAUGUAUUCGCCUGUAACUGUUGUGAGAACAAUAACUAGUUCAUGAGUACUGUACAUAGGUGACAGAUGUAAGUAGAUGAAUGCUCAAUCUUUGUGUUUGAAUCUGCUGGUAUUUAAAGCAUGUGUUAAAUAAUAUUGUUUUAAUCAUAUAUUUUUUAAUAUGGUUUUUAUAUAUCAAUAAUCUCACACCAUCGUACUUUAAACAGUAUGCACUGUGUUGCACAAAGUAAAAAAAACAAGCCAGCUAUUUCACAGUUUAAAGUGCUGAUGCAAAGUGAAGAUACGGUUGUUGUUGGUUGAUUGGUUUCUCAGCAUGACAACAAUUUGUUUCUCCUGUUUUUAGCAACUGUUGCGUACUUCCCUUUUUUUUGAAAAAAAAAAGGUUUAUGUCACUUAUAGUCAGUGCUACAACAAAAAUGCUUACUUUUUUAGUGCUCUUUGUUACAUUUCUUUUUGGCAUACUGUGAUACCCUGAGAUUGAGGAAUUACUGUAAUGUGAGGAGAAGAGCAGUUAUACUCUGCAGUAAGUGUGUGUGCAGGUUUUGGUUUGUAAGUUUUUU